rnacentral:lncRNA from 1 species
UUAAGAUAUAGUUUCAAUUUCACUACACUUGAUCAUUGUUGCAAAAGCACUCAUAAAAGAUAAAAGAAAUAACUUAUUAUCAAAAUCAUUUGCAUCCCCCCGGGGGACAAUGAUAGAUAUAGUCUUCGAGAGCUUUCUUUAGCUUCGCAAUCAAACACUCUUCCCUUGUAAUCCCUGAGCAAUCAACAAUGUCUGGUGAUGCUGUAGGAUUACUGGAAAAUGAUGCAUCUGCGGUAGAUCCUUGGCCAAUAUGAUUGGCUAAAAUAAGUCUGCUUUCAAUGUUUG